UAGAAACCUUGAAAAAUAGCUACCUGAACUCUGUAGUGGUGACACAAUUGGCAAUUGUGUUUGGGUAAUGAAGAAGCUAGAAAAAUGAACAUAGUGAACUUAUGGAUCUGGCUAAGAAGACCUCUAAUGAGAAUCUUGAAAGUACAGCCUGCAAUUCUAUCCUGUAUGGCAAGGUCUUUGGGAAGAAGUAAGACUUUAGCAUGUUGGUGUGACGAAGUCACAGGAAGCCUACUGGAGAACCAAAGGCUACACAGGGCACAGAUGAGUUGUCCAGUGGAGAUAUCUAGGCCAACCAGCUGACAUUCACCAGAAGCUACCAGAUGGGAAAGUGAGACCAUCCUGGACCUUUGUGCUUUAGUGAAGCUCUUAACAACUGCAUGAAAGACCUUGGGCAAAUUCAAAAGAAGGACCAUCCCACUAAGCCAGAUCAAAAUGCUGACCACAGAAUUGAAAGUAUAUGAAAUGGA